rnacentral:rRNA from 1 species
CCAAUAGCGUAUAUUAAAGUUGUUGCAGUUAAAAAGCUCGUAGUUGAACUUCGGGAUUUGCUCAUUGGUCAGGCUUCUGUCUGUACUGGUGUAACGAAUUCCUACCUUCUGAUGAAUCUUCAUGCCAUUCACUUGGUGCGUAGGGGAAUCAGGACUGUUACUUUGAAAAAAUUAGAGUGUUUAAAGCAGGCUAUUGCUCGAAUACAUUAGCAUGGAAUAAUAGAAUAGGACGGUUGGUUCUAUUUUGUUGGUUUCUAGGAUCACCGUAAUGAUUAAUAGGGAUAGUUGGGGGCAUUAGUAUUCAAUUGUCAGAGGUGAAAUUCUUGGAUUUAUUGAAGACUAACUACUGCGAAAGCAUUUGCCAAGGAUGUUUUCAUUAAUCAAGAACGAAAGUUAGGGGAUCGAAGACGAUCAGAUACCGUCGUAGUCUUAACCAUAAACUAUGCCGACUAGGGAUCGGACGAAGUUAAUUUUUAAAUGACUCGUUCGGCACCUUACG